GUUCAUAUUCUCCUCUUCCAUUUAAGUAUAUCCAAUAUCUACAUCUUUAUCUCCACCCACUGUUUGCCCACACAUCCUUCCAUCUGUCCACCCACCCACCCAUUUUAAUCUCUCGUUACUGCUGCCACCUCUAAUCAUCAACCCCCGCCCCUGGCCGCCUCUCCUUGAUUGGGUUCUUCCAGGUACCAUGAAACCUCAGGAUCUUCCCAUGCUGACACCAGGGCAGAUUAAAAUGGGGUUAUGGCAGCUCUGUUCCUCAUUUGGUUUUCCUGGGAACACCCAAGCCCCCUUUUCCCAUGAAUAUUCUGAUUGUGUCCAGCCUCCCCCCACACACCCCACAUCCCUCCUCAUUUGGGAUGCUCUUGCCUCCCACGGAAUAAUUCAAGUUUGUAGUAGAGACAAAAGGGAUUUUAUGUUUAAUCCUGCCCCCUCCCAGCAGUGGUCUGCAGGGCAGCAUAAUUUAAGCAAUUUGUUUGGUGACAGAAUGCCAGCUCCUUCUGUCUCUGAUCCUCCCAAGAAUUCUGAGACAUUCCCGUGUCACAGCUGUAAAUUCAAGUCCCCUUUCUAUUUGGCAUGUGACAUUCCUCAAAGAACUCUGGCUUUCCUGUCUUUAAAGUGACCACUUCUCAGAAUGAGCUUAGCAUCCUGUCAUUUCUCAGGGACAUCUUAACCCAUGACUCACCAGGGAGUUAGUCUAAUCGCACACAAACACACACAAGGCCCAGUCCUGACCUACAGAACGCAGGAAUCUGAUUGUUAGCCAUUGGCUAGCAG
rnacentral:lncRNA from 1 species